GACGAACGCUGGCGGCGUGCCUAAUACAUGCAAGUAGAACGCUGAAGCGAGGAGCUUGCUCUUCUUGGAUGAGUUGCGAACGGGUGAGUAACGCGUAGGUAACCUGCCUUGUAGCGGGGGAUAACUAUUGGAAACGAUAGCUAAUACCGCAUAACAAUGGAUGACACAUGUCAUUUAUUUGAAAGGGGCAAUUGCUCCACUACAAGAUGGACCUGCGUUGUAUUAGCUAGUAGGUGAGGUAAUGGCUCACCUAGGCGACGAUACAUAGCCGACCUGAGAGGGUGAUCGGCCACACUGAGACUGAGACACGGCCCAGACUCCUACGGGAGGCAGCAGUAGGGAAUCUUCGGCAAUGGGGGCAACCCUGACCGAGCAACGCCGCGUGAGUGAAGAAGGUUUUCGGAUCGUAAAGCUCUGUUGUAAGUCAAGAACGGGUGUGAGAGUGGAAAGUUCACACUGUGACGGUAGCUUACCAGAAAGGGACGGCUAACUACGUG
rnacentral:rRNA from 1 species